GAACGCAUAUUGCACUUUCUGGUAUUCCGGAAAGUAUGCCUGUUUGAGGGUCAGUUAAAUAAAAAUCGUUGUUGUUGCCGCUUUUCGUGGUGACGCGUCGGAAUUGAGUUGUCUUACCUUCGGUUAAGUGACUUAAAAUUUUGUAUGAUUUUCGAACGUAUUUAAAUUUAUUUGAACGUUUGAUAUCGAAUGCUUAUUAGGUUCGGUCAUCCUCAUGACUCGCGCCUAUAAUUUUUCAUUAAAUGACCUCAAAUCAGGUAAGAAUACCCGCUGAACUUAAGC
rnacentral:misc_RNA from 1 species